GACGUAGGGCGCGAGCGUUGUCCGGAUUUAUUGGGCGUAAAGAGCUCGUAGGCGGCUUGUCGCGUCGACCGUGAAAACUCGCAGCUCAACUGCGAGCCUGCGGUCGAUACGGGCAGGCUAGAGUUCGGUAGGGGAGACUGGAAUUCCUGGUGUAGCGGUGAAAUGCGCAGAUAUCAGGAGGAACACCAAUUGCGAAGGCAGCUCGCUGGGACGUAACUGACGCUGAGACGCGAAAGCUAGGGGAGCGGACAGG
rnacentral:rRNA from 1 species